rnacentral:misc_RNA from 1 species
GAUGAUGGCUAUUUCAGGAGGAAUUACUCGGCCAUGGCUGCAGCUGCUGCAGCUGAAUCGGAGAGUGAAGAAGAGGACGAGGAGGAGGAGAGGGAAAGGGAGAGGGAGAGGGAGAGGGAGAGGGAAAGUGAGGAAGAUGAGGAGGGAGAGGGGAUAAAGAGAUUGGCUCGAGCUAUUGAGAGAUUUGGAGAGGUUUAUGAGAGAGUGGAGAGCGAGAAGUUGAGGCAGAUGUUGGAUUUGGAGAAGCAGAGAAUGAAAUUCGCCAAAGAUUUGGAAAUGGAGAGGAUGCGGAUUUUCACUGAGACUCAGAUUCAGCUUGAGAAGAUCAAGAAAGGCAAGCGAUCUGGGUCCAAUGGUGAGAG